GGAAGGCAGCAGUGGGGAAUAUUGCACAAUGGGCGCAAGCCUGAUGCAGCUAUGUCGCGUGUAUGAAGAAGACCUUAGGGUUGUAAAGUACUUUCAAUAGCAUAAGAAGGUAAUGAAACUAAUAAUUUUGUUAUCAGACGUUAGCUAUAAAAGAAGCACCGGCUAACUCCGUGCCAGCAGCCGCGGUAAUACGGAGGGUGCUAGCGUUAAUCGGAAUUACUGGGCGUAAAGAGCACUUAGGUGGUUUAUUAAGUCAAGUGUGAAAUCCCUAGACUUAAUCUAGGAACUGCAUUUGAAACUAAUAGACUAGAGUUUCGUAGAGGGAGGUAGAAUUCUAGGUGUAGCGGUGAAAUGCAUAGAUAUCUAGAGGAAUAUCAGUGGCGAAGGCGACCUCCUGGACGAUAACUGACGCUAAAAUGCGAAAGCAUGGGUAGCAAACAGGAUUAGAUACCCUGGUAGUCCAUGCUGUAAACGAUGUCGACUAAGAAGUUGAAAGCUUUGACUUAUAAUUUCUGUAGCUAACGCGUUAAGUCGACCGCCUGGGGAGUACGGCCGCAAGGCUAAAACUCAAAUGAAUUGACGGGGGCCUGCACAAGCGGUGGAGCAUGUGGUUUAAUUCGAUGCAACGCGUAAAACCUUACCUGGUCUUGACAUCCACAGAAUUUUAUAGAAAUAUAAAAGUGCAAUUUGAACUGUGAGACAGGUGCUGCAUGGCUGUCGUCAGCUCGUGUUGUGAAAUGUUGGGUUAAGUCCCGCAACGAGCGCAACCCUUGUUUUUUGUUACCAUCAGAUAAAGCUGGGGACUCAAAAGAAACUGCCAGUUAUAAACUGGAGGAAGGUGGGGACGACGUCAAGUCAUCAUGGCCCUUACGACCAGGGCUACACACGUGCUACAAUGGCGUAUACAAAGAGAUGCAAUAUUGUAAAAUAAAGCUAAUCUAUAAAAUACGUCUUAGUUCGGACUGGAGUCUGCAACUCGACUCCACGAAGUCGGAAUCGCUAGUAAUCGUGGAUCAGCAUGCCACGGUGAAUAUGUUUCCAGGCCUUGUACACACCGCCCGUCACACCAUGGAAGUGGGUUGCAAAAGAAGUAGAUUAAUUUAACCUUCUUAACAAGAAAAUAGU
rnacentral:rRNA from 1 species